AAAGUAGCUUACAGAAAGCAUUCGACUUACAACCCGGACGACAUUACAUUAAUCUUUUUGA
rnacentral:tRNA from 1 species